rnacentral:miRNA from 1 species
GUGUUUAGACUAUCUGUUC